rnacentral:rRNA from 1 species
GAUGAACGCUGGCGGCGUGCUUAACACAUGCAAGUCGAACGAGAAAUGAUAUUACGAUCUCUUCGGAGUGACGGUUUUAUUUCGAGUGGCGGACGGGUGAGUAACGCGUGAGCAACCUGCCCUAUACCGGGGGAUACCAGUUGGAAACGACUGUUAAUACCGCAUAAGCGCACGAUAAGACAUCUUGUUGUGUGAAAAACUCCGGUGGUAUAGGAUGGGCUCGCGUAUGAUUAGCCAGUUGGCGGGGUAAAGGCCCACCAAAGCGACGAUCAUUAGCCGACCUGAGAGGGCGACCGGCCACAUUGGGACUGAGACACGGCCCAAACUCCUACGGGAGGCAGCAGUGGGGAAUAUUGCACAAUGGGCGAAAGCCUGAUGCAGCGACGCCGCGUGAGUGAGGAAGUAUUUUGGUAUGUAAAGCUCUAUCAGCAGGGAAGAAAGAAANGA